rnacentral:rRNA from 1 species
AACUUUAGGCGGUGGAUCACUCGGCUCGUGCGUCGAUGAAGAACGCAGCCAGCUGCGUGAAUUAAUGUGAAUUGCAGGACACAUUGAACAUCGACAUUUUGAACGCAUAUUGCGCCACAGGUCCGUCCUGUGGCC